rnacentral:rRNA from 1 species
CCUACGGGAGGCAGCAGUGGGGAAUAUUGCGCAAUGGGCGAAAGCCUGACGCAGCGACGCCGCGUGAGGGAUGAAGGUCUUCGGAUCGUAAACCUCUGUUAGCAGGGAAGAACGGUCACUGUGGUAAUCAGCAGUGAAUUGACGGUACCUGCAAAGGAAGCACCGGCUAACUCCGUGCCACCAGCCGCGGUAAUACGGAGGGAGCGAGCGUUAAACGGAAUUACUGGGCGUAAAGCGAUCGUAGGCGGUAUGGCAAGUCAAGGGGGAAAUCUCCGCGCUCAACGUGGGAACUGCCUUUGAAACUGGUGUACUUGAGUGUGUGAGAGGUUAGUGGAAUUCCAGGUGUAGAGGUGAAAUCCGUAGAUAUCUGGAGGAACACCGGUGGCGAAGGCGGCUAUCUGGCACAUAACUGACGCUGAGGAGCGAAAGCGUGGGUAGCAAACAGGAUUAGAUACCCUAGUAGUC